UUAAUCCAAGACAUAUCCACAGCCUUGUACCAACUGACAAGUGGGACCCCGGGUUUAUUCCUUUUUCCUACCGAAUUAUUUUUCAGUGCAAAAUUGCACAGGUGGGCCCGGCCUGUCAGUGGCUCGAAUGGAGGUCGUCUUCAACCUCCAGCCGGGCAGAGGCAGCCGCGCCAUGCGCGCUGGGCGCAGCCGGGAUGGCACGAGGCCGGCACGGCGGCGGCCGGGGAAGGUGCGGUGAGGUUCCGGCGACCUCCCACCACCUUCGGCGACGCGCGGCGGAGCGAGGGCGAGCGGCGCAGCAUGACCACCAUGGCUGAGCUCGGAUGGAGAGGAGGAGCUCCGGGAUGGCUUGUCCACGGCGAGCUCACCGGCGGCAAAACGGUGGCCGGACCGGCACGGCGACGGGGGGCUCUAGUUUCUACGGAACUAGGGGAGGCCAGAGGAGCGAGGACUUACCGAGGGAAGGAGGAACGACGAAGAUCGGCGGCGUUGGUGGAGCGGAGAAGAAGCUGCCGGCAUGCACACAAGGUGUUUGAGAAAAUGCAUACAAGGGAGAAGAAGAGGCAGAGAGGGGUGGACGAGCUCGUGGGGGCUCUUGGGGCCUUGUGA
rnacentral:lncRNA from 1 species